AGAGUUUGAUCCUGGCUCAGGAUGAACGCUGGCGGCGUGCUUAACACAUGCAAGUCGAACGGGGAUGCAUUAAGAAGGAGUGCUUGCAUUCCGGAAGGAUGUAUCUUAGUGGCGGACGGGUGAGUAACGCGUGGGUAACCUGCCCCAUACCGGGGGAUACCACCUGGAAACAGGUGCUAAUACCGCAUAAGCGCACGGGAGCGCAUGCUCCUGUGUGAAAAACUCCGGUGGUAUGGGAUGGACCCGCGUCUGAUUAGCCAGUUGGCAGGGUAACGGCCUACCAAAGCGACGAUCAGUAGCCGGCCUGAGAGGGUGGACGGCCACAUUGGGACUGAGACAAGGCCCAAACUCCUACGGGAGGCAGCAGUGGGGAAUAUUGCACAAUGGGGGAAACCCUGAUGCAGCGACGCCGCGUGAGUGAAGAAGUAUUUCGGUAUGUAAAGCUCUAUCAGCAGGAACGAGACAAGACGGUACCUGACUAAGAAGCCCCGGCUAACUACGCGCCAGCAGCCGCGGUAAUACGUAGGGGGCAAGCGUUAUCCGGAAUCACUGGGUGUAAAGGGAGCGUAGACGGCUGUGCAAGCCUGAAGUGAAAGGCGGGGGCCCAACCCCCGGACUGCUUUGGGAACUGUACGGCUGGAGUGCAGGAGAGGUAAGUGGAAUUCCUAGUGUAGCGGUGAAAUGCGUAGAUAUUAGGAGGAACACCAGUGGCGAAGGCGGCUUACUGGACUGUAACUGACGUUGAGGCUCGAAAGCGUGGGGAGCAAACAGGAUUAGAUACCCUGGUAGUCCACGCCGUAAAC
rnacentral:rRNA from 1 species